ACCCUCUGCCUCUUCACCGCUGCCCCCCACACUUACCUGGUGAUAGGGGCUGUAGGCUGCUGCGAAGUAGGGCUGGGGAGGACCGUAGACUUGGUGCUGCCCCGCGCCCCCCGGAGAGGAUGCCUCCGUCGUUCCUCCUGCCUCGUCGGGCCCCGCUCUUGGUCGGGGAGAAGUGGAGCUCCGGGAAAGGCAGGGGUCGGGAUAACACCCUCCAAAUCCCACCAAGUCCGGCGUCCGCCGGAAAAUGCCACCGCCAAAGUCACAGGAGUUGGGAGGUCUGAUGAAUUCAAGGAGGAAAAUCCAGUUGCUCCCGUGGAGGAAUCUUCCCAGAAACUUUUGAAUCAUUUCAAAUCCUGGGAUCCGCGAUGCUUUUGCAUUAAUAGAAAUUAAAACAACGCCGAUGGCAAAGUCACGUCAAAAGAACAAAUUAUCGUGAAGGUAAACUUGAUUUCCUCCUCGGCUUUCUGCCGAGUGUGACAUGCAAAGUUGUAAAUAGGUGAAUGUAUCUUCACUGCUCAUUUUGACGGAGUUGCAUAGGAACUAGAUUACUUUCUAACAGAGAUCUAAGUUCUCAUUUCAAUACCAACUCUCUGAAACGUUCAUCUUCGUGGUAAGGGUCACAACUACAGUGAAAAGAGACCCGGGUUUGUUUCUUUUUUCUUUAAGAAUCUGUAAUAAAGCAGAAAAAAAUAUCGAACAUAUGAUAGAAAGAAUAUUACUUGGUUUUCAAAUGCUGAUUGGUUACAAGAGUAUGGGGAAAAAUCUGAAAAGAAUGAACACUUUGAAUUUUGAAGACCUGGAAAUAUUUGAAAUAAUUUUAGCAGAAAAUCCUCAGAACUAAAACUAAGUAUUGACUCUAUUUUGUUUUCCCCAAAAUGUAAUUUUCAUAUUGCAAGUGCUAGAAAUUGUUCUAAAUACGUGCCCUUCACCAAAAUGAUGUUUCAGUGCCCAAUGAGCAUGUUUCAAUAUUUUCUGCAUCAUGUACGAGAUUUAAAAUUCAUAUUUAAACAAACUUUUUUCUCCCUA